rnacentral:rRNA from 11 species
GUACAUAACUAUAGUAACCCUAAAGAUCCCAGAUCCCGCAUGGAUCUUAGAAGCUAAGCAUGUUUAGCCCUGGUUAGUACUUGGAUGGGAGACUGGCAGUGACGUCCAUGUGCUGGAGGCUAUAUUUC